UACGGAGGAUCCGAGCGUUAUCCGGAUUUAUUGGGUUUAAAGGGUGCGUAGGCGGGUUAUUAAGUCAGUGGUGAAAGCCUUCAGCUCAACUGAAGAAUUGCCAUUGAUACUGAUGAUCUUGAGUGUGAUUGAGGUGGGCGGAAUGUGUCAUGUAGCGGUGAAAUGCUUAGAUAUGACACAGAACACCGAUUGCGAAGGCAGCUCACUAAGUCACAACUGACGCUGAUGCACGAAAGCGUGGGGAGCAAACAGG
rnacentral:rRNA from 1 species